UUAUUUAGCUUAAAAUCUGGGUGUGUCAAUUUUAGAUUUAGGGGUGCCAAGCACUCCCGUAUAUGUGGCAAUGGUAGUAAUGCUAUAAUAAUUGUACAGUUUUCAUUUUUAGCUGUCUAGCUAUAACGAACAGUUGGUAAAAUGGUAUGGGACAAUUUUUGAACAUGCCAUCAGUAUAAUACAUCACAAUAAGCAAAACAUGUCAAGUUAGUUUC